CGUGCCUUCGACACAAUCUGAUGCAAAAACUGCAAACUGGGUCCACCGUCAACCACAACGGCACCCGACAGUCCGAAAUAGUCUAUACUCUACUAUAAAAAUAAACUCAGCAUCCCAACACGAGCGUAAAUACAUUCUACACUAUCCUGGGUAUCCACCGCCCACAAACUGCGACGAUACAAACAAACUACGGCUCCUAGAGCUAAAUCUGGUAGUUUCAGAAAAUGACGGUGUAGAAUCGGCAGUUUUCUUCUAAGUCAAUUCCAAAUCCAACAUGUAUAAUUAAACUAACAUUUUACGCUCCAAAUUCAAAUUUCUAUAGGCAUGCAAAUCCAUAAAUUU
rnacentral:lncRNA from 1 species